UACGGAGGAUGCAAGCGUUAUCCGGAAUGAUUGGGCGUAAAGCGUCCGCAGGUGGCAAUAUAAGUCUGCUGUCAAAGCGUCUGGCUCAACCAGAUAAAGGCAGUGGAAACUACAUAGCUAGAGUAAGGUAGGGGUAGAGGGAAUUCCUGGUGUAGCGGUGAAAUGCGUAGAGAUCAGGAAGAACACCGGUGGCGAAAGCGCUCUGCUGGACCUUAACUGACACUGAGGGACGAAAGCUAGGGGAGCGAAUGGG
rnacentral:rRNA from 1 species